GAUUCUGGAGCUGAACCUGGGGCUUGGACCAACUUCUGCCAAAGUCCAAGGCUGCAGCCACCCAAAGGCGCAGUUCCAUUAUCCUCAGGGCAGUUUUCCCUUCAGGCAGCUGUAAGGCGUCUAGAAUUCAUCCCAGGACACCAUCACUGCCUGUUCCUCAAGACUUUCUCCUGUGGAACAGCGUCAGGGCAUUGCUCUCUCUCUCUCUUUCUCUCUUUAAUUUACUCUCUCUCUAUUUUCCCAGCUGUAACAGAGGAAGAUCUCUUUUGAAACAGCGUGUUCUCUGGAUCCCCUUUGCUGCCCCUCCUUCUGCUGCGCGGGACCCUCCUGGACUGGCACUACCUUGCAGGCCCAGACAUUCCUGGAAGCAGGCACCAUGACUAAGCAGAGGAAUUAGAGGAUUAAAGCACAAAACCUGAGCAGAUACAUGGAAGAAUUUCAGACCUCAGAAUCUACUUCAGUGAUGUUUCAGGAGGAAAUGGACAAAUGAGAACAUCCCAAAAGGCAAGGCCAGGGCCACAGAAGACAUGGCGGAGGGAUUGCCUUCCUUCCUUUCCUUAUUUAACAAAGAAAUAUUAAAUUAGGAACAACUCUUUGCAGCUUAUUGAGUUGCUAACUGACAUGAAGUGUUGAAGAAAGUCCUGAAUAGAUUAUCAGUUCCUGAAACAAACAGUAUCAACAAGGCUCAUUGUCAUCACAAGAGAGAAACGAAUCAGUUCCCGGAUGUUCCUGGAUCAUAUAUCUGCCUCUGGAUUUAAGAAUUCUUGAAGUUCUGGAGCUACUUGAUUCUCUUUGUUUGAAGAGUGAAAUACCAAUAUAUUUCUUUUUAAUACUUUACAGUUUUUUUUUUAUUUUUUUUUAUUUUA
rnacentral:lncRNA from 1 species